UGGGGAAUAUUGCACAAUGGGCGCAAGCCUGAUGCAGCCAUGCCGCGUGUAUGAAGAAGGCCUUCGGGUUGUAAAGUACUUUCAGUCGGGAGGAAGGUGGUAAGGUUAAUAACCUUAUCAAUUGACGUUACCGACAGAAGAAGCACCGGCUAACUCCGUGCCAGCAGCCGCGGUAAUACGGAGGGUGCAAGCGUUAAUCGGAAUUACUGGGCGUAAAGCGCACGCAGGCGGUUGAUUGAGUCAGAUGUGAAAUCCCCGGGCUUAACCCGGGAAUUGCAUCUGAUACUGGUCAGCUAGAGUAUUGUAGAGGGGGGUAGAAUUCCAUGUGUAGCGGUGAAAUGCGUAGAGAUCUGGAGGAAUACCGGUGGCGAAGGCGGCCCCCUGGACAAAGACUGACGCUCAGGUGCGAAAGCGUGGGGAGCAAACAGG
rnacentral:rRNA from 1 species